AAUGAACGCUGGCGGCGUGCUUUACACAUGCAAGUCGAGCGAGGCGGCCCGCAAGGGCCAGUCGAGCGGCGAACGGGUGAGUAACACGUGGAUUAUCUGCCCUGAGGUGGGGGAUAACCCGGGGAAACUCGGGCUAAUACCGCAUAUGACCGCGAGGUCAAAGGGGGGUCGCAAGAUCUCUCGCCAUAGGAGGAGUCCGCGUCCGAUUAGCUAGUUGGUAGGGUAAUGGCCUACCAAGGCGACGAUCGGUAGCCGGCCUGAGAGGGUGAUCGGCCACACUGGAACUGAGACACGGUCCAGACUCCUACGGGAGGCAGCAGUGGGGAAUUUUGCGCAAUGGGCUAACGCCUGACGCAGCAACGCCGCGUGGAGGAUGAAGGUCCUUGGAUGUAAACUCCUGUCAGCAGGGAAAAAGCGACUCGGCCUAAUACGCCGGGGAGUUGAUUGUACCUGCAGAGGAAGCCCCGGCUAACUCUGUGCCAGCAGCCGCGGUAAUACAGAGGGGGCAGCGUUAUUCGGAAUUAUUGGGCGUAAGGGGCGCGUAGGCGGCUGGGCAAGUGGAUGGUGAAAUCCCUCGGC
rnacentral:rRNA from 1 species